rnacentral:rRNA from 1 species
GACGAACGCUGGCGGCGUGCUUAACACAUGCAAGUCGAACGGAAAGGCCCCUUUGGGGGUCCUCGAGUGGCGAACGGGUGAGUAACACGUGAGUAACCUGCCCUUGACUUCGGGAUAACUUCAGGAAACUGGGGCUAAUACCGGAUAGGAAUCCUUGCUGCAUGGUGGGGGUUGGAAAGCUUCGGCGGUUUUGGAUGGACUCGCGGCUUAUCAGCUUGUUGGUGGGGUAGUGGCUUACCAAGGCUUUGACGGGUAGCCGGCCUGAGAGGGCGACCGGCCACAUUGGGACUGAGAUACGGCCCAGACUCCUACGGGAGGCAGCAGGCGAGAAUAUUACACAAGGGGCGGAAGCCUGAUGCAGCAACGCCGCGUGCGGGAUGACGGCCUUCGGGUUGUAAACCGCUUUCAGCAGGGGCGAAUCUUGUGGUGACGGUACCUGCAGAAGAAGCACCGGCUAACUACGUG